rnacentral:tRNA from 1 species
GCGGAUAUAGCUCAGCUGGGAGAGCGUCAGACUGAAGCCCAACUUCAGCAUCUCAAUCUGAAGGUCAAGUGUUCGAUCCACUUUAGCCGCA